AUUGAACGCUGGCGGCAGGCCUAACACAUGCAAGUCGAACGAGUGGCGGACGGGUGAGUAAUGUCUGGUAAACUGCCUGAUGGAGGGGGUUAACUACUGGAAACGGUAGCUAAUACCGCAUACUCUCGGAUGUGCCCAGAUGGGAUGAGCUAGUAGGUGGGGUAAAGGCUCACCUAGGCGACGAUCCCUAGCUGGUCUGAGAGGAUGACGGGCCACACUGGAACGAGGACAGGGUCAAGAUUCCUACGGGAGGAAGCAGGGGGAAAUAUUGCACAAUGGGGGCAAGCCGGAUGAAGAAAUGCCGCGUGUGGGAAGAAGGCUUUCGGGUUGUAAAGCACGUUCAGCGAGGAGGCGUUACCCGAAGAGAAAGCAACGGCUAACUCCGUGCCAGCAGCCGCGGUAAUUC
rnacentral:rRNA from 1 species